rnacentral:misc_RNA from 1 species
UAGGUUUGACAUCACCCGGAAACCUCUAGAGAUAGAGGCCUCUUCGGACUGGGUGACAGGUGGUGCAUGGCUGUCGUCAGCUCGUGUCGUGAGAUGUUGGGUUAAGUCCCGCAACGAGCGCAACCCUUAUCCCGUGUUGCCAGCAUUCAGUUGGGGACUCACGGGAGACUGCCGGGGUUAACUCGGAGGAAGGUGGGGAUGACGUGAGCCUAUCGAGA